GAUCCUGGCUCAGGAUGAACGCUAGCUACAGGCUUAACACAUGCAAGUCGAGGGGCAGCAUGAUGGUUGCUUGCAACCGUUGAUGGCGACCGGCGCACGGGUGAGUAACGCGUAUCCAAUCUACCUUAUACUCGGGGAUAACCCGUUGAAAGGCGGACUAAUACCCGAUAUAGUUGUUUGAUGGCAUCUGAUGACAACGAAAGGUUACGGUAUAAGAUGGGGAUGCGUCCGAUUAGCUUGUUGGCGGGGUAACGGCCCACCAAGGCGACGAUCGGUAGGGGUUCUGAGAGGAAGGUCCCCCACAUUGGAACUGAGACACGGUCCAAACUCCUACGGGAGGCAGCAGUGAGGAAUAUUGGUCAAUGGACGAGAGUCUGAACCAGCCAAGUAGCGUGCAGGAUGACGGCCCUAUGGGUUGUAAACUGCUUUUAUGCGGGGAUAAAGUGUGCCACGUGUGGCAUAUUGCAGGUACCGCAUGAAUAAGGACCGGCUAAUUCCGUGCC
rnacentral:rRNA from 1 species